rnacentral:rRNA from 1 species
GAUGAACGCUAGCGGCAGGCCUAAUACAUGCAAGUCGAACGAUACCAGAGAGCUUGCUUUCUGGGAAAGUGGCGCACGGGUGCGUAACGCGUAUGCAACCUACCUGAAUCAGGGGGAUAGCCUCUCGAAAGAGAGAUUAACACCGCAUAACAUCAUUUUACGGCAUCGUAGAAUGAUCAAAUAUUUAUAGGAUUAAGAUGGGCAUGCGUGACAUUAGCUAGUUGGUGAGGUAACGGCUCACCAAGGCUACGAUGUCUAGGGGAUCUGAGAGGAUGACCCCCCACACUGGUACUGAGACACGGACCAGACUCCUACGGGAGGCAGCAGUAAGGAAUAUUGGUCAAUGGAGGCAACUCUGAACCAGCCAUGCCGCGUGCAGGAAGACGGCCCUAUGGGUUGUAAACUGCUUUUAUACGGGAAUAAACCUCUCUACGUGUAGGGAGUUGAAUGUACUGUAAGAAUAAGGAUCGGCUAACUCCGUGCCAGCAGCCGCAGUAACAC